UACAGAGGUCUCAAGCGUUUGUUCGGAUUCAUUGGGGCGUAAAGGGUGCGUAGGCGGCGCGGUAAGUCGGGUGUGAAAUCUUGGAGCUUAACUCCGAAACUGCAUUCGAUACUGCCGUGCUUGAGGACUGGAGAGGAGACUGGAAUUUACGGUGUAGCGGUGAAAUGCGUAGAUAUCGUAAGGAAGACCAGUGGCGAAGGCGGGUCUCUGGACAGUUCC
rnacentral:rRNA from 1 species